CUUGUUUGUAACAUUUUUGGUGGAGUUCAUCAUAUGUGGAAAGUUUCUAAUAGCUUUCUGAUGUCUUUAAUUACAGGCUUGACUCUUUCUUUGACAAUAAUAUCCAACGACAUCCACCGUAAAGGAGCAGAGAUGAAGUCAGUCUUCACUGAAAUUCCAUGCCGUAAUCGUCCCGUUCCUCGGAAGCCAAAGAAUUCAGACGGCAAAGCAGAUACAUUUGUGUUGCUGAGUUAUGCCUGAAACUGGCUCGAGACAGAGAGGGGGAUAUCAGCACUUCAUCAGCACCACAAGAAAGAGUACCAUCAGUGCUGGAUCCGUCGUCAUGGUAUGAUAAUGGAUGGACUGGACAGUUUACUGGUAAUUUGUAAUGAUGCAGUGUGGAAUGAAGCUGACGGUAACAAUUCUAAGGUGUUUUGAUGAAUAGUGUGGUUGAGACAUUAUGAUGUUAAUGGGAGAAAUCAUAACAAUCAGCGCCUGUAGGUUGUAGUUAUGAAAUUUAAUUUUCACAGAGGCAUUGCAUGUUUGUUUACUCUUGAAUAUGUAUGUGAAAAAUACAUAUCGUUGGUGUAAUUUGAUGUAAAUAAAGUACAAUUUAUGUGCA